AGUAACUAGUAAAGAUGGUUAAAAGGUAUUGAUAAAUAACGAUAAGCAUUCCAAUGAUUAUUGUUCGAUGAAGAAUAUUAUCUAUAAAGAGAUUUUUUUAAAUCUACCUGCUACUCUUAAUAUACAAGAUUUGUAAUUACAUUCCAAUAUUUCUAUCAUGAUUUUAUAUUUAUUUUAAUUAUUCUAUAUGUAUUAAUAUAUAUUUAUUAUAUGUUCUUGAUCAACUACAGAAUGCAGUGCAAUUUAUUCAGUGAGUUAACAAAUGAGAGAGAUAACUAGAAGAUAAAGGUUAGAAUUGACAGAAUAUGGAAUUUGAUUAACAUAAAGAACAACAAUAAUAUUAUAAGUUUGGAUAUGCUCAUUAUUGACGAAGAUGUACCUUUCUUUUUAUUUUCAAAUAUUUUUUAUUCUUAUAUCUGUUAAUAUUUCUUACAAUAAUUAUUAAUACUUUAUUUUUUGAUUUGUUGGUUUAUUAGAGUAAUCAUAUGCAUGCUAUAAUCAGAAAAAAUAUUAUACAAAAAUUUUGUAUGCUUAUUGAAGAAGGAUAUGUAUAUCUGAUUACUAAUUUGAAAGUUAUGCACACUGAUGGAAUG
rnacentral:lncRNA from 1 species